GGCUAGAUAGUAUAAAGGUCUAAUGCGGUGGGUUGCAAACCCCAUAAAUGAGGGUUCAAGUCCCUCUCCGGCCU
rnacentral:tRNA from 1 species